rnacentral:rRNA from 1 species
GAUGAACGCUAGCGGCAGGCUUAACACAUGCAAGUCGAGGGGUAUAGUUCUUCGGAACUAGAGACCGGCGCACGGGUGCGUAACGCGUAUGCAAUCUACCUUUUGCAGAGGGAUAGCCCCAGAGAAAUUUGGAUUAAUACCUCAUAGUAUAGCAGUUUCGCAUGAAACCACUAUUAAAGUCACAACGGCAAAAGAUGAGCAUGCGUCCCAUUAGCUAGUUGGUAAGGUAACGGCUUACCAAGGCUACGAUGGGUAGGGGUCCUGAGAGGGAGAUCCCCCACACUGGUACUGAGACACGGACCAGACUCCUACGGGAGGCAGCAGUGAGGAAUAUUGGACAAUGGGCGGCAAG